UUGACCUCGGAUCAGGUAGGGAUACCCGCUGAACUUAAGCAUAUCAAUAAGCGGAGGAAAAGAAACCAACCGGGAUUACCUCAGUAACGGCGAGUGAAGCGGUAACAGCUCAAAUUUGAAAUCUGGCUCCUUUGGGGCCCGAGUUGUAAUUUGUAGAAGAUGCUUUGGGUACCGGUCCAGCCUAAGUUCCUUGGAACAGGACGUCAUAGAGGGUGAGAAUCCCGUAUGUGGCUGGCGCCGGGGCCUGUGUAAAGCUCUUUCAACGAGUCGAGUUGUUUGGGAAUGCAGCUCUAAAUGGGUGGUAAAUUUCAUCUAAAGCUAAAUAUGGGCCAGAGACCGAUAGCGCACAAGUAGAGUGAUCGAAAGAUGAAAAGCACUUUGGAAAGAGAGUUAAACAGUACGUGAAAUUGUUGAAAGGGAAGCGCUGGCAACCAGACUUGGGCCCUGGUGAACCGUUGGAGCUUGCUCCAAGGCACUCGGCAGGGCACAGGCCAGCAUCGGUUUGGGUGGUUGGAGAAAGGCUCGUGGAAUGUAGCUGUCCUCGGGCAGUGUUAUAGCCACGAGCGUCAUGCAGCCUACCUGGACCGAGGACCGCGCUUCGGCUAGGAUGCUGGCGUAAUGGUUGUCAGCGACCCGUCUUGAAACACGGACCAAGGAGUCUAACAUCUAUGCGAGUGUUUGGGUGUUAAACCCAUGCGCGGAAUGAAAGUGAACGUAGGUGAGAACCCGUGAGGGUGCAUCAUCGACCGAUCCGGACGUCUUCUGAUGGAUUUGAGUAAGAGCAUAGCUG
rnacentral:rRNA from 1 species